UAGGGAAUCUUCGGCAAUGGACGGAAGUCUGACCGAGCAACGCCGCGCGAGUGAAGAAGGUUUUCGGAUCGUAAAGCUCUGUUGUUAGUGAAGAACGUUGGUAGGAGUGGAAAAUCUACCAAGUGACGGUAACUAACCAGAAAGGGACGGCUAACUACGUGCCAGCAGCCGCGGUAAUACGUAGGUCCCGAGCGUUGUCCGGAUUUAUUGGGCGUAAAGCGCGCGCAGGCGGUUCUUUAAGUCUGAAGUUAAAGGCAGUGGCUUAACCAUUGUACGCUUUGGAAACUGGAGGACUUGAGUGCGGAAGGGGAGAGUGGAAUUCCAUGUGUAGCGGUGAAAUGCGUAGAUAUAUGGAGGAACACCGGUGGCGAAAGCGGCUCUCUGGUCUGUAACUGACGCUGAGGCUCGAAAGCGUGGGGAGCAAACAGG
rnacentral:rRNA from 1 species